ACGGAAGGCAGCAGUGGGGAAUAUUGCACAAUGGGGGAAACCCUGAUGCAGCGACGCCGCGUGAGUGAAGAAGUAUUUCGGUACGUAAAGCUCUAUCAGCAGGGAAGAAAAUGACGGUACCUGACUAAGAAGCCCCGGCUAACUACGUGCCAGCAGCCGCGGUAAUACGUAGGGGGCAAGCGUUAUCCGGAUUUACUGGGUGUAAAGGGAGUGUAGGUGGCCAUGCAAGUCAGAAGUGAAAGCCCGGGGCUCAACCCCGGGACUGCUUUUGAAACUGUAAGGCUUGAGUGCAGGAGAGGUAAGCGGAAUUCCUAGUGUAGCGGUGAAAUGCGUAGAUAUUAGGAGGAACACCAGUGGCGAAGGCGGCUUACUGGACUGUAACUGACACUGAGGCUCGAAAGCGUGGGGAGCAAACAGGAUUAGAUACCCUGGUA
rnacentral:rRNA from 1 species